UACGGAGGGUGCAAGCAUUAAUCGGAAUUACUGGGCGUAAAGGGCGCGUAGGCGGAUAGGAAAGUCAGAUGUGAAAUUUCGGUACUCAACACCGAAGCGGCAUUUGAAACUGUUUAUCUAGAGGAUAGGCGGAGAAAACGGAAUUCCAUGUGUAGCGGUGAAAUGUGUAGAUAUAUGGAGGAACACCCGUGGCGAAAGCGGUUUUCUAGCUUAGACCUGACGCUGAGGCGCGAAAGCGGGGGUAGCAAACAGG
rnacentral:misc_RNA from 1 species